rnacentral:lncRNA from 1 species
UAUAUCGCAAAUACCUGCUGACCGAGUAUCUUGUAUCGUAUCAUGAUACAGUUGCAAAGUAUCUUUGCCCAGCCCUGCGUGUUUACGUAAGAUUGUGAAA